AUUGAACGCUGGCGGCCGGCCUAACACAUGCAAGUCGAACGAGUGGCGGACGGGGGAGUAAUGUCUGGGAAACUGCCUGCUGGAGGGGGAUAACUCCUGGAAACGGUAGCUAAUACCGCAUACCAUCAGAUGGGCCCGGAUGGGAUUUGCUAGUUGGUGGGGGAACGGCUUACCGAGGCGACGAGCCCUAGCUGGGCUGAGAGGAUGACCAGCCACACUGGAACUGAGACACGGUCCAGCCUCCUACGGGAGUCAGCAGUGGGGAAUAUUGCACAAUGGGCGCAAGCGUGAUGCAGCCAUGCCGCGUGGAUGAAGAAGGCAUUCGGGUUGUAAAGUACUUUCAGUGGGGAGGCGGUACCCGGAGAAGAAGCACCGGCUAACUCCGUGCCAGCAGCCGCGGUAAUAC
rnacentral:rRNA from 1 species